rnacentral:rRNA from 1 species
CCUACGGGUGGCAGCAGUGGGGAAUAUUGCACAAUGGGGGAAACCCUGAUGCAGCAACGCCGCGUGAGUGAUGGCGGCCUCCGGGUUGUAAAGCUCUUUCUUCAGGGACGAUAAUGACGGUACCUGAGGCGGAAUCCACGGCUAACUACGUGCCAGCAGCCGCGGUACUACGGAGGUGGCGAGCGUUGUCCGGAUUUAGUGGGCGUAAAGGGGGCGUAGGCGGACUUUUAAGUGAGAUGUGAAAUACUCGGGCUCAACUUGAGUGCUGCAUUUCAAACUGGAAGUCUAGAGUGCAGGAGAGGAGAAUGGAAUUCCUAGUGUAGCGGUGAAAUGCGUAGAGAUUAGGAAGAACACCAGUGGCGAAGGCGACGAUCUGGCCUGCAACUGACGCUCAGUCCCGAAAGCGUGGGGAGCAAAUAGGAUUAGAUACCCCUGUAGUC